rnacentral:rRNA from 1 species
GAUGAACGCUGGCGGCGCGCCUAACACAUGCAAGUCGAACGAUUAAAGCACCUUCGGGUGUGUAUAAAGUGGCGAACGGCUGAGUAACACGUGGGCAACCUGCCCCUCUCAUUGGGAUAGCCACGGGAAACCGUGGAUAAUACCGAAUACUUCGGGACUUCCGCAUGGAAGACCCGAGAAAGCUCCGGCGGAGAGGGAUGGGCCCGCGGCCUGUUAGCUUGUUGGUGGGGUAAUGGCCUACCAAGGCAAUGAUGGGUAGCUGGGUUGAGAGACCGACCAGCCAGAUUGGGACUGAGACACGGCCCAGACUCCUACGGGAGGCAGCAGUGGGGAAUCUUGCACAAUGGGCGAAAGCCUGAUGCAGCGACGCCGCGUGCGGGAUGAAGGCCUUCGGGUUGUAAACCGCUUUCAGCAGGGACGAGGCGAAAGUGACGGUACCUGCAGAAGAAGCCCCGGCUAACUACGUG